GUGGGGAACAUUGGACAAUGGGCGAAAGCCUGAUCCAGCCAUGCCGCGUGUGUGAAGAAGGUCUUCGGAUUGUAAAGCACUUUAAGUUGGGAGGAAGGGCAGUAAGUUAAUACCUUGCUGUUUUGACGUUACCAACAGAAUAAGCACCGGCUAACUUCGUGCCAGCAGCCGCGGUAAUACGAAGGGUGCAAGCGUUAAUCGGAAUUACUGGGCGUAAAGCGCGCGUAGGUGGUUUUGUAAGUUGGAGGUGAAAUCCCCGGGCUCAACCUGGGAACUGCCUCCAAAACUGCAUGACUAGAGUACGGUAGAGGGUAGUGGAAUUUCCUGUGUAGCGGUGAAAUGCGUAGAUAUAGGAAGGAACACCAGUGGCGAAGGCGACUACCUGGACUGAUACUGACACUGAGGUGCGAAAGCGUGGGGAGCAAACAGGAUUAGAUACCCCGGUAGUCC
rnacentral:rRNA from 1 species